GGCACUAAUUGAAUUCAUUUAGGCCGAGCGCAGACUAGGUCCAGUGCAGACUAAAAGCGUAGCGGAAUGUAGCGCAGCGUAGCGUAUAUUAUUCAAUGAGCGUAAGGUCACUUGAGUGUAAAAUUGUCAAAAAGAAGAGAACCGGCAUACAUGAAACUACUAACUUACGGGAAAAAAGUUACCCAAAUAACUUUUUAAAUAUGCCAGAAUGUCUCUAAACCAUUUGGUUACAUACUGACGAUUAUUGAAGGAGAUAUUAGAAAGCAAAAAACAAACUUUCGUGAACCAAUUUCACCAGAAGAAAGAUGUAACUUUAAGGGGACAACCCGGUUUUGCGCCGAGGUGCACCAAUUCAGGUUUUCGUGGCUGGAUCAUCCUCAUUCAUACGGACCGCCCACCGCAACCUGUUGAGCG